GUAGGAGAAAAAAGGUAGGUUAAUUAUUAGCAGAUUAUUACUAGCUAGUAGGUGAUUUAGGUGAUUCCUUGUUUGUACAGGUUGUAAGGAGGGGGAAAAAGAUGGUAUGUCGUUUUCUCUUGUGGGGAAGACAUAUUGGAUUCUUGUUUAUUUUGUCUGCUUGCUUUUUGCGGUGAAGGGAUAGGGGGCCCAGCACUCUUAGCAUUCAAUAUGGUCUUCUUCUGCUACCAGUAAUGGUAGGCUAGCUGAUGUUGUUUUAGGACUUCGAACAGGGGAACAAAA
rnacentral:misc_RNA from 1 species